rnacentral:lncRNA from 1 species
UGGGUAUAGGAUACUAAUAGUGCAAGUCAUGUUGGCAAAUAGUUAUAAAAAACUUCAGGAUAGUAGAAGGUUUGAAAAUGGCAAGAGACUCUUAAAGGUAAGAAAUGGAAGUAUGUUCCAGUCUCAACAUUAGGAAUCAUCGAACUUGUUUUCAAUCCUAAAAAUAUCAUUUUAAGUGAUUGUCACUAUUAUCCAAUCUUAUUGAUGGUGUC